AGAAUGACACUAAAUAGCAGAAAGUAAAAUAUGACUAAUGGCCAUUGGCCUUAUUACAUCAUUUAAUCAAAAUAAAAAAGACCCCUAACUACUUGGUCCCAGAAGGACCUUCCCCAGAUUUGGCAUCUUUGUCUCCCUCAAACAGUUUCACCAGCUUGCGUAGUCCUAGUAGUAAAUAAGCUCGGGCCAGAUGUCCACCUGCAUUUCCUUUAGGGUUUUGACAGUCUUCAAUCCUCUUGAUGAACUUUCCUUCCAACUCCACUAGAACCCGCUCCAAACACCCUUGUCGCUUGUUGGAACUAACAACCAUAUAUUUCCAUUCCUCGAUCAACUUUUGAUGGACUUCUUGUAUUUACCGAUGCUCACUUUCACACUCUCGGAUGCUCUUGCGCAAUUGAUUGUACUUGACCCGCAUUUUGGACUUCUCAUCGAUGACCCUGUGACCUCGGAUGAAACCAGGCUAACCCUUACCACUGUGAUUAUCUUCCAACCAACCUGAAUAGUACGGUACAGGACCGGCGUGAUAGCUGUCUGGCUCAAUAGAUUAUUUCCCCAAAACGAGCUUGUAAUGCCACAUGUGUUGAGCUUGGAACUUGUGAGGGCUAUCAUCGUCCUGGAAGUCAGCCCUGAAGUGACUCAUUUUGUCAACCCUUGGUAUGAUUUUAUUUCUUCCAGCCUGCCUCAUGGCUUGGAGGGGAACAUACGGAUAAGUUCCUCUCAGACCAAUGAGUAUGAGAAAUGGUGCGUCUCGGGAUCGAACAAUUAAUUCUUCCAUAGGGAAUCACUCGACCAUCCAUUGUACCUGGUCUUCUUUCAGAUUCUCAAAUAACUCUACCCAUCCUCCAACGUCCUCUGGCUGAGAGAACAUAUUAAGCAUAUAAUUCAUACGCCUUGGCUGGUGGUAGGUAAUGUGGUCAUCCCAUUCUCUGCGUAGGAUCUCUUGCCGGUAUUCUCUUUUAUGGAGGUGCUCCAUGAUCCAAGCUGAAGUAAUAAGAUGCAUCCCUCAAAGUGAUUGGCCUUUUACUGACAGUUGUAUAGGGCUCGGUAUGUUUUAGCAGCGAUCAUGUGCACUAUACUAAAGAGCUGCCCGCCAAUUCCUUACAUCAGAGUCUUGGUUACCAUGGCCAGCUUGGUGUGGAUCCUAGCCUUUUUCAUAGGGAACACUAUCAUCCCCAGAAAGCAAAACAUGAAUACAAAACCCUUCUGUGAAUGUUCUCUAAUGAGGUGAGGGAGAAUUCGUCUGAGUAGGUGCAGUAUGACUUGUUGUGGCCGUACCUUUCGUACAGAUAGUCGAAUGGGAUGUAGGAGUCUUUCAAAGAGGUCAAGUCUGGAUUCUUCUUCAGUCCCAUCAUCUUAAGGAAACCCCUACCCUUGCGAUUCUCUUACAUAAGCAAACCC
rnacentral:lncRNA from 1 species